CGCGGAGUCGCCGCUGACCGUUGGAAUAUCCACCGCAGAGUCACCGCCGCCGCCCCAUUUCAACCCUAGGUACCGUGGAGCAGCAGCGCGGCGCACAUCUCCUGAACUGCGGAGUCGCCGCCGCCCGCCGCAUAGUCGUCACCGACCGCCAGAGUCUCCAUUGACCGCCGCUAGGGAGUUGGCGCCGCCGCCCCAUUGCAGCCCUAGAGGAGCCUGUGACCGAUUGGAAAUGAGGAGCCCCAGUCGCAACCUGCGACCAAUUGGAAAUGAGGAGGAAUAAAAAGAAAUAAGAUUAUAAUUAACAAAGAUUUGAUUUGAUCUAUUACAACAAUGUCAUUUUACAUAUUUCCAAUAAUACCCUUAUACUACCCAUACUACUCAUGCAUACUACCUAUACUACAGCUUAAGGUUUUAGUAGUAUACAAUUAAUCUCAACCGUCGGAUCCUUACAUACGAGUCCUUUUCGAACAAUAGUAUAGCGUAGUAUUGUGCACCGUAAAAGAGUUCUACGAAAAACUAGGCAUUGGUCCUAACCCUUAGUAUCGGUUGGUUUUUUACCCGAUACUAAUACUCACAUUAAUACUGGAUCUAACAGAUAGUAUCUCAGGAGUCCCCCGUGAUCCCCUUUAGGCCUCGUUCAUUUCAGCCGGAUUGGCUUCCGGCCAGGAUUACUUCCAGACCCGGUUUGAGUGAUUCCACUUGUGUCGCUCAAUCUGGCCGGAUUUAAUCCUACCAAUCCACUCAAAACGAACAGGUCAUAACAAACAGGUCAUGAAAGAUUUGGUAUCAAGUCAAUUCUCAGGAGGGUUAAUACUGAGGCGUCACUGCUGGCGACAUGGUUCCUUGGGGGGAAAUUGGAGUCCAAGUCGGAUCCACGAGGCGCAGCUGCCCACAGGACGCUGCUGCAAACGUUUUCGAGUCGCUCACCACCACCUACCACCCAACUGGCCACUGCCAAAACACAAGUGAAGAAGAACAUGAGCUCUCAUGAGCAUCAGAUAUGAAAAAUUGCAUGUUGGGAAGCAGCCAUUGUAUCUGUACCCAAUUGUAUCUAACUGGGACAAGAGUAUCAUACAAUUUUAUACUUUGUCUUCUUGGUUUGGUCCUCGUUGCCCAGCACUUGCUACCCCAUCUCGUGCUUCUCAAAGAUGCCUGCAUGAUCAACAGGCACAAGCAGUAAGUAAAUAGCCAAUAGCACUCUGACUCUGAAAUCAGACUCACGCAUCACUCCAGAUGUACUGAUCCUACUGUUUCUCUAGUUACUUGUAACAUAGAUUAAUCUGACCACCAACAAGAAUAUCAGAACCAAUAGGAACGCCAUGUGUGUCCAAUACAGAAACCAAGAAUUUGCACGAACGAAAGAAAUGAAGCAACAGAGAAAGAAACGGCACGGACCUUGGGAGCAAGUCGGGGGACUAGCUACCGGGCAAGGGGUGGCACUGG
rnacentral:lncRNA from 1 species